rnacentral:rRNA from 1 species
AGAGUUUGAUUCUGGCUCAGAUUGAACGCUGGCGGCGUGCCUUACACAUGCAAGUCGAACGUGAAAGUACUUUCGGGUACGAGUAAAGUGGCGCACGGGUGAGUAACGCGUGGAUAAUCUACCAAGAAGUUUGGGAUAACAGCUGGAAACGGCUGCUAAUACCGAAUACGCUGCAUAUCUAUCUUAUGUGGGAAAGAUGGCCUCUGCAUAUGCUGUUGCUUUUUGAUGAGUCCGCGUACCAUUAGCUGGUUGGUGGGGUAAAGGCCUACCAAGGCGACGAUGGUUAACUGGUCUGAGAGGAUGAUCAGUCACACUGGAACUGGAACACGGUCCAGACUCCUACGGGAGGCAGCAGUGGGGAAUAUUGCGCAAUGGGCGAAAGCCUGACGCAGCGACGCCGCGUGAGGGAUGAAGGUCUUCGGAUCGUAAACCUCUGUCAGCAGGGAAGAACGGUCACUGUGCUAAUCAGCAGUGAAUUGACGGUACCUGCAAAGGAAGCACCGGCUAACUCCGUGCCAGCAGCCGCGGUAAUACGGAGGGUGCGAGCGUUAAUCGGAAUUACUGGGCGUAAAGCGCUCGUAGGUAGUAUGGCAAGUCAAGGGUGAAAUCCCCGCGCUCAACGUGGGAACUGCCUUUGAAACUGCUACACUUGAGUGUGUGAGAGGAUAGUGGAAUUCCAGGUGUAGGAGUGAAAUCCGUAGAUAUCUGGAGGAACAUCAGUGGCGAAGGCGACUAUCUGGCACAUAACUGACACUGAGGAGCGAAAGCGUGGGUAGCAAACAGGAUUAGAUACCCUGGUAGUCCACGCUGUAAAC